rnacentral:rRNA from 1 species
UAAGCGACUAAGCGUACACGGUGGAUGCCCUGGCAGUCAGAGGCGAUGAAGGACGUGCUAAUCUGCGAUAAGCGUCGGUAAGGUGAUAUGAACCGUUAUAACCGGCGAUUUCCGAAUGGGGAAACCCAGUGUGUUUCGACACACUAUCAUUAACUGAAUCCAUAGGUUAAUGAGGCGAACCGGGGGAACUGAAACAUCUAAGUACCCCGAGGAAAAGAAAUCAACCGAGAUUCCCCCAGUAGCGGCGAGCGAACGGGGAGCAGCCCAGAGCCUGAAUCAGUGUGUGUGUUAGUGGAAGCGUCUGGAAAGGCGCGCGAUACAGGGUGACAGCCCCGUACACAAAAAUGCACAUGCUGUGAGCUCGAUGAGUAGGGCGGGACACGUGGUAUCCUGUCUGAAUAUGGGGGGACCAUCCUCCAAGGCUAAAUACUCCUGACUGACCGAUAGUGAACCAGUACCGUGAGGGAAAGGCGAAAAGAACCCCGGCGAGGGGAGUGAAAAAGAACCUGAAACCGUGUACGUACAAGCAGUGGGAGCACGCUUAGGCGUGUGACUGCGUACCUUUUGUAUAAUGGGUCAGCGACUUAUAUUCUGUAGCAAGGUUAACCGAAUAGGGGAGCCGAAGGGAAACCGAGUCUUAACUGGGCGUUAAGUUGCAGGGUAUAGACCCGAAACCCGGUGAUCUAGCCAUGGGCAGGUUGAAGGUUGGGUAACACUAACUGGAGGACCGAACCGACUAAUGUUGAAAAAUUAGCGGAUGACUUGUGGCUGGGGGUGAAAGGCCAAUCAAACCGGGAGAUAGCUGGUUCUCCCCGAAAGCUAUUUAGGUAGCGCCUCGUGAAUUCAUCUCCGGGGGUAGAGCACUGUUUCGGCAAGGGGGUCAUCCCGACUUACCAACCCGAUGCAAACUGCGAAUACCGGAGAAUGUUAUCACGGGAGACACACGGCGGGUGCUAACGUCCGUCGUGAAGAGGGAAACAACCCAGACCGCCAGCUAAGGUCCCAAAGUCAUGGUUAAGUGGGAAACGAUGUGGGAAGGCCCAGACAGCCAGGAUGUUGGCUUAGAAGCAGCCAUCAUUUAAAGAAAGCGUAAUAGCUCACUGGUCGAGUCGGCCUGCGCGGAAGAUGUAACGGGGCUAAACCAUGCACCGAAGCUGCGGCAGCGACACUAUGUGUUGUUGGGUAGGGGAGCGUUCUGUAAGCCUGUGAAGGUGUACUGUGAGGUAUGCUGGAGGUAUCAGAAGUGCGAAUGCUGACAUAAGUAACGAUAAAGCGGGUGAAAAGCCCGCUCGCCGGAAGACCAAGGGUUCCUGUCCAACGUUAAUCGGGGCAGGGUGAGUCGACCCCUAAGGCGAGGCCGAAAGGCGUAGUCGAUGGGAAACAGGUUAAUAUUCCUGUACUUGGUGUUACUGCGAAGGGGGGACGGAGAAGGCUAUGUUGGCCGGGCGACGGUUGUCCCGGUUUAAGCGUGUAGGCUGGUUUUCCAGGCAAAUCCGGAAAAUCAAGGCUGAGGCGUGAUGACGAGGCACUACGGUGCUGAAGCAACAAAUGCCCUGCUUCCAGGAAAAGCCUCUAAGCAUCAGGUAACAUCAAAUCGUACCCCAAACCGACACAGGUGGUCAGGUAGAGAAUACCAAGGCGCUUGAGAGAACUCGGGUGAAGGAACUAGGCAAAAUGGUGCCGUAACUUCGGGAGAAGGCACGCUGAUAUGUAGGUGAGGUCCCUCGCGGAUGGAGCUGAAAUCAGUCGAAGAUACCAGCUGGCUGCAACUGUUUAUUAAAAACACAGCACUGUGCAAACACGAAAGUGGAAGUAUACGGUGUGACGCCUGCCCGGUGCCGGAAGGUUAAUUGAUGGGGUUAGCGCAAGCGAAGCUCUUGAUCGAAGCCCCGGUAAACGGCGGCCGUAACUAUAACGGUCCUAAGGUAGCGAAAUUCCUUGUCGGGUAAGUUCCGACCUGCACGAAUGGCGUAAUGAUGGCCAGGCUGUCUCCACCCGAGACUCAGUGAAAUUGAACUCGCUGUGAAGAUGCAGUGUACCCGCGGCAAGACGGAAAGACCCCGUGAACCUUUACUAUAGCUUGACACUGAACAUUGAGCCUUGAUGUGUAGGAUAGGUGGGAGGCUUAGAAGUGUGGACGCCAGUCUGCAUGGAGCCGACCUUGAAAUACCACCCUUUAAUGUUUGAUGUUCUAACGUUGACCCGUAAUCCGGGUUGCGGACAGUGUCUGGUGGGUAGUUUGACUGGGGCGGUCUCCUCCUAAAGAGUAACGGAGGAGCACGAAGGUUGGCUAAUCCUGGUCGGACAUCAGGAGGUUAGUGCAAUGGCAUAAGCCAGCUUGACUGCGAGCGUGACGGCGCGAGCAGGUGCGAAAGCAGGUCAUAGUGAUCCGGUGGUUCUGAAUGGAAGGGCCAUCGCUCAACGGAUAAAAGGUACUCCGGGGAUAACAGGCUGAUACCGCCCAAGAGUUCAUAUCGACGGCGGUGUUUGGCACCUCGAUGUCGGCUCAUCACAUCCUGGGGCUGAAGUAGGUCCCAAGGGUAUGGCUGUUCGCCAUUUAAAGUGGUACGCGAGCUGGGUUUAGAACGUCGUGAGACAGUUCGGUCCCUAUCUGCCGUGGGCGCUGGAGAACUGAGGGGGGCUGCUCCUAGUACGAGAGGACCGGAGUGGACGCAUCACUGGUGUUCGGGUUGUCAUGCCAAUGGCACUGCCCGGUAGCUAAAUGCGGAAGAGAUAAGUGCUGAAAGCAUCUAAGCACGAAACUUGCCCCGAGAUGAGUUCUCCCUGACUCCUUGAGAGUCCUGAAGGAACGUUGAAGACGACGACGUUGAUAGGCCGGGUGUGUAAGCGCAGCGAUGCGUUGAGCUAACCGGUACUAAUGAACCGUGAGGCUUAACCU